rnacentral:rRNA from 1 species
ACCGUACUCCUACGGGAGGCAGCAGUGGGGAAUUUUGGACAAUGGGGGCAACCCUGAUCCAGCAAUGCCGCGUGAGUGAAGAAGGCCUUCGGGUUGUAAAGCUCUUUUGUCAGGGAAGAAACGGUAGUAGCUAAUAUCUAUUACUAAUGACGGUACCUGGAGAAUAAGCACCGGCUAACUACGUGCCAGCAGCCGCGGUAAUACGUAGGGUGCAAGCGUUAAUCGGAAUUACUGGGCGUAAAGCGUGCGCAGGCGGUAGUGUAAGUCAGAUGUGAAAUCCCCGGGCUCAACCUGGGAAUUGCAUUUGAGACUGCACGGCUAGAGUGUGUCAGAGGGGGGUAAAAUUCCACGUGUAGCAGUGAAAUGCGUAGAUAUGUGGAGGAAUACCGAUGGCGAAGGCAGCCCCCUUGGAUAACACUGACGCUCAUGCACAAAAGCGUGGGGAGCAAACCGGAUUAGAUACCCUUAUAGUCCUUGAC